rnacentral:lncRNA from 1 species
UGUUGGGUUUUUUGAUACCCAAUAAAUCCCGGGCUAUGAUGUUAACGUGGGUUAAUAUUAUUUCAUAGGCAUAGGCCGAUGAAUGAAAUAAGUCCAACAACCAAGUCCAUGAGCUACACCCGGCCCAAUUGUAUUCCUUAUGGAUGGUUUGAAUCUUGGCCCGUUUACCCCUUUAAUGGCCCAACUUAAAGCCUAACCCUAGAGUAUAUAUAUGAAUAUAACCCUAGCCUCUUUGUGAUGAUGAGUGUGUGAUUUUGAGAGAAGAAACUAGUGAAUCCCGGCUGCCCCCUUUUUGUGUGAGAAAAAGGUGUCUAGAAGUGUCCA